UACGUAGGGGGCGAGCGUUGUCCGGAUUUAUUGGGCGUAAAGAGCUCGUAGGCGGUUUGGCAAGUCGGGUGUGAAAACUCCGGGCUCAACUCGGAGACGCCACUCGAUACUGCCAUGACUAGAGUCCGGUAGGGGAGUGCGGAAUUCCUGGUGUAGCGGUGAAAUGCGCAGAUAUCAGGAGGAACACCGGUGGCGAAGGCGGCACUCUGGGCCGGAACUGACGCUGAGGAGCGAAAGCGUGGGGAGCGAACAGG
rnacentral:rRNA from 1 species